UACGGGGGGGGCAAGCGUUGUUCGGAAUUACUGGGCGUAAAGGGCUCGUAGGCGGCCAACUAAGUCAGACGUGAAAUCCCUCGGCUUAACCGGGGAACUGCGUCUGAUACUGGAUGGCUUGAGUUUGGGAGAGGGAUGCGGAAUUCCAGGUGUAGCGGUGAAAUGCGUAGAUAUCUGGAGGAAUACCGGUGGCGAAGGCGGCAUCCUGGACCGAGAUUGACGCUGAUGAGCGAAAGCUAGGGGAGCAAACGGG
rnacentral:rRNA from 1 species